rnacentral:tRNA from 1 species
AAGACACUAGUAACAAUGACUAUUACACUGCUUUGUCAAGGCAGAGUUGCGGGAUAGAGCCCCGCGUGUCUUG